AUGGAGGCCAACGGGUCGCAGCAGGAGGAGGAGCCUCGGCACCUCAGCUCUGGUGAUCACGAGUCCCUCAAGGAACCCAGGAACGGGAAGGGGGGAUGGAUCACCUUCCCUUUCCUCGCAGUGGCCAUACUGGGCGUCGGGCUGGCGACCGGCGGCGCGACGGCCAACAUGGUGGUCUACCUGAUAAAGGAGUACAACGUGCCGAGCGUCGACGCGGCGAAGAUCUCUAACAUCAUCUCCGGAUCCAUCAGCGUCGCCCCCGUGGCCGGUGCCAUCGUCGCCGACGCUUUCUUCGGCAGCUUCCCCAUCGUCGCCGUCGCCAUGGUCAUGGCCGUCCUCUCCUUGGUCAUGUUCACGCUGGCGGCGAGCCUUCCGGGCCUCCGGCCGGCGGCGUGCCAGCUCGGGGCCGGCCCGUGCGAGCAGGCGUCGGCGGGGCAGAUGGCGGCCCUGUACGCGGCCGUGUUCCUCCUCUGCCUGAGCGCGGCGGGGGCGCGGUUCAACCAGGCGACCAUGGGCGCCAACCAGUUCGAGGCCGCCGCCGACCGCGACGUCUUCUUCAACUGGUACUUCAUCUUCUUCUACGCGUCCACCGUGCUCGGCGCCACGGUCAUCGUCUACGUCCAGGACACGGUGUCCUGGACGCUCGGCUUCGGCGUCUCGUGCGCCGCCGGCGUCGUCGGCCUCGCGGCGCUGCUCCUCGGCACGCGGUACUACCGGCAGCCCCCCGCUCAGGGCAGCCCGUUCACGGGGCUGGCCAGGGUGGUCGUCGCCGCGGCGAGGAAGAGGAAGCUCAAUGUCGUGGCGUCGGAGGAGUUGAAGUUUUACUACGGGCUACGUACGGGCGACGAGGACGUCAAGACUGGCGGCGACGAUGUCGCUAUUCCCAGCGACAGCUUUAGCUUCCUGAACCGUGCCGCGGUGAUCACUGACGGCGACGUGGACGCGCGAGCGGCUCGGUGCUCCGGCCGUGGCGCGUGUGCACGGUGCAGCAGGUGGAGGAGUUCAAGACGGUGCUGCGCAUCAUGCCGCUGUGGAGCGCGGCCAUCGUGCUCAGCGUCUCCAUCGGCGUGCAGAUCAACUUCACCAUCCUACAGGCGCUCGCCAUGGACCGCACCGUCGGCCGCUUCACCGCGCCGGCGGGCUCCAUGUUCGUGGGCAGCCUCAUAG
rnacentral:rRNA from 1 species